GUGCUCGCUUCAGCAGCAUAUACACUAAAAUUGGAAUGAUACAGAGAUUAGCAUGGCCCCUGUGCAAGGGUGACACGCNCAAAAUUAUAGAAUCAGAAAGUAGAA
rnacentral:snRNA from 1 species